rnacentral:rRNA from 1 species
UACAGAGGUCUCAAGCGUUGUUCGGAUUCAUUGGGCGUAAAGGGUGUGUAGGUGGCGCGCUAAGUCGGGUGUGAAAUCUCGGAGCUUAACUCCGAAACUGCAUUCGAUACUGCCGUGCUUGAGGACUGGAGAGGAGACUGGAAUUUACGGUGUAGCGGUGAAAUGCGUAGGAUAUCGUAAGGAAGACCAGUGGCGAAGGCGGGUCUCUGGACAGUUCCUGACGUGAGGCACGAAGGUCAGGGGAGCAAACGGG